rnacentral:rRNA from 1 species
AGCAGCAGCCGCGGUAAUACGUAGGUGGCAAGCGUUGUCCGGAAUUAUUGGGCGUAAAGGGCUCGCAGGCGGUUUCUUAAGUCUGAUGUGAAAGCCCCCGGCUCAACCGGGGAGGGUCAUUGGAAACUGGGAAACUUGAGUGCAGAAGAGGAGAGUGGAAUUCCACGUGUAGCGGUGAAAUGCGUAGAGAUGUGGAGGAACACCAGUGGCGAAGGCGACUCUCUGGUCUGUAACUGACGCUGAGGAGCGAAAGCGUGGGGAGCGAACGGGAUUAGAUACCCGUGUAGUCCCUGUCUCUUAUAC